GUGAAGAACGUAGUGAAAUGCGAUAAGUAAUGUGAAUUGCAGAAUUCAGUGAAUCAUCGAAUCUUUGAACGCACAUUGCGCCCGUCAGUAUUCUGGCGGGCAUGCCUGUUCGAGCGUCAUUACGCCCCUCAAGUCCCCUGUGGACUUGGUGUUGGGGAUCGGCGAGGCUGGUUUUCCAGCACAGCCGUCCCUUAAAUUAAUUGGCGGUCUCGCCGUGGCCCUCCUCUGCGCAGUAGUAAAACACUCGCAACAGGAGCCCGGCGCGGUCCACUGCCGUAAAACCCCCCAACUUUUUAUAGUUGACCUCGAAUCAGGUAGGACUACCCGCUGAACUUAAGCAUAUCAAUAAGCGGAGGA
rnacentral:misc_RNA from 1 species